AAAACGGAGAGUUUGAUCCUGGCUCAGGAUGAACGCUGGCGGCGUGCUUAACACAUGCAAGUCGAACGAACCUUCGGGUUAGUGGCGGACGGGUGAGUAACGCGUGAGAAUCUGCCCUCAGGAGGGGGAUAACAGUUGGAAACGACUGCUAAUACCCCAUAUGCCGAGAGGUGAAAUGAAUUUCGCCUGAGGAUGAGCUCGCGUCUGAUUAGCUUGUUGGUGGGGUAACGGCCUACCAAGGCUUCGAUCAGUAGCUGGUCUGAGAGGACGAUCAGCCACACUGGGACUGAGACACGGCCCAGACUCCUACGGGAGGCAGCAGUGGGGAAUUUUCCGCAAUGGGCGAAAGCCUGACGGAGCAACGCCGCGUGAGGGAUGGAGGCCUUUGGGCUGUAAACCUCUUUUCUCAAGGAAGAAGACCUGACGGUACUUGAGGAAUAAGCCACGGCUAAUUCCGUGCCAGCAGCCGCGGUAAUACGGGAGUGGCAAGCGUUAUCCGGAAUUAUUGGGCGUAAAGCGUCCGCAGGCGGCCGUUUAAGUCUGUUGUUAAAUCGUGGAGCUCAACUCCAUCACGGCAAUGGAAACUGUUCGGCUUGAGUAUGGUAGGGGCAGAGGGAAUUUCCGGUGUAGCGGUGAAAUGCGUAGAUAUCGGGAAGAACACCAGUGGCGAAAGCGCUCUGCUGGACCAUUACUGACGCUCAUGGACGAAAGCCAGGGGAGCGAAAGGGAUUAGAUACCCCUGUAGUCCUGGCCGUAAACGAUGAACACUAGAUGUUGGGGGAAUCGACCCCCUCGGUGUCGUAGCUAACGCGUUAAGUGUUCCGCCUGGGGAGUACGCACGCAAGUGUGAAACUCAAAGGAAUUGACGGGGGCCCGCACAAGCGGUGGAGUAUGUGGUUUAAUUCGAUGCAACGCGAAGAACCUUACCAAGGCUUGACAUCCUGCGAAUCUCCGAGAAAUUGGAGAGUGCCUUCGGGAACGCAGUGACAGGUGGUGCAUGGCUGUCGUCAGCUCGUGUCGUGAGAUGUUGGGUUAAGUCCCGCAACGAGCGCAACCCACGUUUUUAGUUGCCAGCAUUCAGUUGGGCACUCUAGAAAGACUGCCGGUGACAAACCGGAGGAAGGUGUGGACGACGUCAAGUCAUCAUGCCCCUUACGCCUUGGGCUACACACGUACUACAAUGCUGCGGACAAAGAGUAGCGAUCUUGCGAAAGUUAGCUAAUCUCGUAAACCGUGGCUCAGUUCAGAUCGUAGGCUGCAACUCGCCUACGUGAAGGAGGAAUCGCUAGUAAUCGCAGGUCAGCAUACUGCGGUGAAUACGUUCCCGGGCCUUGUACACACCGCCCGUCACACCAUGGAAGUUGGCCAUGCCCGAAGUCGUUACUCUAACCUUUUGGAAGAGGGCGCCGAAGGCAGGGCUGAUGACUGGGGUGAAGUCGUAACAAGGUAGCCGUAGCGGAAGCUGCGGCUGGAUCACCUCCUAA
rfam:Candidatus Synechococcus spongiarum 15L contig1, whole genome shotgun sequence.